rnacentral:lncRNA from 1 species
CCGUUGCAACGCACGGGCAUGUUUGCUAUAAUAAUAAAGCAUUCAGUGGAGGGGCUUAGAAAAAUAGAAACAGUUCUAUUUGACAUACAAUGUACUUCAGAAAUUAAUGGCUGGAGAAUCCUAAACUAACAUAUGGCAUUUUGUUUCAAUUUCUCUUUACCUGAUUGUGUUACUUAUGCACAAGCACCAUACUUGAUAUAGGUCCCUGCACUUCCGUUGACGAGUAUUUUGUCAGCAUCUCGAUGCGGAGGUACAACUUCUAGCUGAUCUUCGUCAUGUUUUACAUUGUUUCUCGGUACUUUUUACUGCAAUGUGGAGGUCAGAUUCUAGCUGAUAUAUCUUCAUGCUUUACCUUGUUUACCAAUGUCCCAAUGUGGACGUAAAGAUUCUAGCUGAUAUAUCUUCAUGUUUUACCUUGUUUACCAAUGUCCCAAAAUUUUGUUUCGUCUUUGCUUUGAAUUAAUUUUCCCUUACUUUGACUGGGUAGGACAUUUAUUUGAAAUACUAAAUUGUGGUGUCGCUACCUCUAAGGACCACAGCGUUGUAGCGCCCUUGGCUCAAGGUGACCAUCUUCAGCGCAUCGUGGUGUCGCUGCCCACACGAUCUCUACAGACACCACAAAAGGCUACAGGACCGAGGAGGCCGGUGGCCUGACCACUGAAUCACGUUGUCGUGCGGGCGCCUUGAUCUCGCAUGCGCUGCACAGGUUAGAUUGACAUUUUGCCCUGUGUUUAAUUACUACAUGCACUGCACACUGAUCCAUGUAUAUAUUGGCUCCCCUAUAUAUACCUCUGUUGGUGAAAAGUUUUGACUUUCUCGAGUUUUGUCAGACGUGAGUUGCAACAAUUUUCAGUUACUUUUCUAUGCCUGCCAUUUAUCUCUGAACCGUUGUGAUGGAGAUUGUAAUACUGUGUUUAGAAUAUGUCAGUCCAUAUGCAAGAUCUUCUUUUCAACUUGGCAACCAUGAUUAUACGUUAGUCAUCUAUACUUUACAAGCAUAUGAGAUAUGUGUAAUUUUUUUUUGCGGGAAGAUAUGUGUAAUUAAUGUGUUCGUCGGAG